ACGGGUGAGUAACGCGUGGGAAUCUACCCAUCUCUACGGAAUAACGCAUGGAAACGUGUGCUAAUACCGUAUACGUCCUUCGGGAGAAAGAUUUAUCGGAGAUGGAUGAGCCCGCGUUGGAUUAGCUAGUUGGUGGGGUAAAGGCCUACCAAGGCGACGAUCCAUAGCUGGUCUGAGAGGAUGAUCAGCCACACUGGGACUGAGACACGGCCCAGACUCCUACGGGAGGCAGCAGUGGGGAAUAUUGGACAAUGGGCGCAAGCCUGAUCCAGCCAUGCCGCGUGAGUGAUGAAGGCCCUAGGGUUGUAAAGCUCUUUCACCGGUGAAGAUAAUGGCGGUAACCGGAGAAGAAGCCCCGGCUAACUUCGUGCCAGCAGCCGCGGUAAUACGAAGGGGGCUAGCGUUGUUCGGAUUUACUGGGCGUAAAGCGCACGUAGGCGGACUAUUAAGUCAGGGGUGAAAUCCCGGGGCUCAACCCCGGAACUGCCUUUGAUACUGGUAGUCUUGAGUUCGAGAGAGGUGAGUGGAAUUCCGAGUGUAGAGGUGAAAUUCGUAGA
rnacentral:rRNA from 1 species